rnacentral:rRNA from 1 species
AGAGUUUGAUCAUGGCUCAGAUUGAACGCUGGCGGCAGGCCUAACACAUGCAAGUCGAGCGGAAACGAUCCUAGCUUGCUAGGAGGCGUCGAGCGGCGGACGGGUGAGUAACGCGUGAGAAUCUACCCAUGAGUGGGGGACAACCCGGGGAAACUCGGGCUAAUACCGCAUACGCCCUACGGGGUAAAGCAGGGGACCUUCGGGCCUUGCGCUGAUGGAUGAGCUCGCGUCGGAUUAGCUUGUUGGUGAGGUAAAGGCUCACCAAGGCGACGAUCCGUAGCUGGUCUGAGAGGAUGAUCAGCCACACCGGGACUGAGACACGGCCCGGACUCCUACGGGAGGCAGCAGUGGGGAAUCUUGGACAAUGGGGGCAACCCUGAUCCAGCCAUGCCGCGUGUGUGAAGAAGGCCUUCGGGUUGUAAAGCACUUUCAGCAGGGAGGAAGGCUUACCCCUAAUACGGGUGAGUACUUGACGUUACCUGCAGAAGAAGCACCGGCUAAUUUCGUGCCAGCAGCCGCGGUAAUACGAAAGGUGCAAGCGUUAAUCGGAAUUACUGGGCGUAAAGCGCGCGUAGGCGGUGUGUUAAGUCGGAUGUGAAAGCCCAGGGCUCAACCUUGGAAUUGCAUCCGAUACUGGCACGCUAGAGUGCAGUAGAGGGAGGUGGAAUUUCCGGUGUAGCGGUGAAAUGCGUAGAGAUCGGAAGGAACACCAGUGGCGAAGGCGGCCUCCUGGACUGACACUGACGC